AUGAUUCGUCAGUUUUGGCGGGGAAGUAAAGAAGGAAAAAUACGACCAUGUUGGGUGUCUUGGGAUGUAAUCACAAGACCUAAAUGCCUUGGUGGUUUGGGUUUUCGGGAUAUGGAGAUAUUUAACCUUGCACUCUUAUCCAGGCAGGCGUGGCAACUGCUAGAAUAUCCUGACUCCCUCAGUGCACGUAUGCUAAAGGCAAUCUACUACCCAGACACAUCAAUCCUCGACGCGGAGUUAGGGUCCCGACCUUCUCAAAUUUGGCGGGCUGUCAUCGAUGGGCGGAACAUUAUGAAGCAAGGAAUUAUUCGUCGGAUAGGAGAUGGCUCAUCAACAUAUAUAUGGACUCAGAACCGGAUUCCAAGGGAAGGUUUUUAUAGGCCUGUUUCUUCACUAGUUGCGGCCCCCGCAGACAGUUUAUGA
rnacentral:rRNA from 1 species